UUUCCUAACUUUAACCGCCUGUCAUGAAACUGGACCUAAGAUUAGUAAAAAAUCUGUAAAUGUAACCUUAUGUCCGACUGAGUAUUUAACAACUAUUGUUAGUAAAAGUUUAAUGUAUGAAAUAUAGUAAAAAAAUAUGAAACGAUUAAGUUUUAUGGCAAAAAGACACCCUACCCCAUUUGAGGUCAUGUGUUUUAGGUCAAAUAUUAACGAAAUAUGACCAGAAACACACAUCACCACCCGAAAACACUCACCAUCGUGUGUUGGUGGUUGUUCUGAUAAUACAAGAUUGAAUUUGUCAAUUUGACCGGGUGUUGCAAGUGUGUUCGUUAAUAUUAUGGAUAUACUGCAUAUUAAGUUAAAAUGCAUUAGAAAAUUGCUGUAACUAAUAUUAAUAAUGCGGUCCUAAUUGCAAAACCACGAUAUGUCUAAAUUCAACUACUUAAUAACUAUAAUACAAGUCAUUAUAUUACACUUUAAGUAGGAUACAAUAUUAAUAUGAUUUAUAAUACAGAGUGGGUUAU